rnacentral:rRNA from 1 species
GAUGAACGCUGGCGGCGUGCCUGAUACAUGCAAGUCGAGCGAACGGACGAGAAGCUUGCUUCUCUGAUGUUAGCGGCGGACGGGUGAGUAACACGUGGAUAACCUACCUAUAAGACUGGGAUAACUUCGGGAAACCGGAGCUAAUACCGGAUGAUAUUUUGAACCGCAUGGUUCAAAAGUGAAAGACGGUCUUGCUGUCACUUAUAGAUGGAUCCGCGCUGCAUUAGCUAGUUGGUAAGGUAACGGCUUACCAAGGCAACGAUGCAUAGCCGACCUGAGAGGGUGAUCGGCCACACUGGAACUGAGACACGGUCCAGACUCCUACGGGAGGCAGCAGUAGGGAAUCUUCCGCAAUGGACGAAAGCCUGACGGAGCAACGCCGCGUGAGUGAUGAAGGUCUUCGGAUCGUAAAACUCUGUUAUUAGGGAAGAACAUAUGUGUAAGUAACUGUGCACAUCUUGACGGUACCUAAUCAGAAAGCCACGGCUAACUACGUG